UGAGGAGAUUCAUCGUCAGCGUAUNCAGUAUUGAUGCAGGCUAUGAUGUGAUAAUAGAAUCCUCGUGGAAAGGSGUAAKGAAAGUAWAGAUKKUYUUAAGACAAUUGAGGGAAGAUGGGUUGCGUUACGAUGUAAUCCCGCAUUCCCGGGACGUUCCAUUCUCAU
rnacentral:rRNA from 1 species